rnacentral:rRNA from 1 species
UGCAGUUGCACGUCUAACGUAGCAAACCGCUCAGUAACACGUGGCCGAUCUACCCUAUGGACCGGGAUAACCACGGGAAACUGUGGCUAAUCCCGGAUAGCGCUCCCGAGCUUGAAUGCUGGGAGCGCCAAACGCUCCGGCGCCAUAGGAUGAGGCUGCGGCCGAUUAGGUAGACGGUGAGGUAACGGCUCACCGUGCCGAUAAUCGGUACGGGUCAUGAGAGUGAGAACCCGGAGACGGAAUCUGAGACAAGAUUCCGGGCCCUACGGGGCGCAGCAGGCGCGAAACCUUUACACUGCACGACAGUGCGAUAGGGGGACACCGAGUGCGUAGGCAUAGAGCCUACGCUUUUGUGUACCGUAAGGUGGUACACGAAUAAGGGCUGGGCAAGACCGGUGCCAGCCGCCGCGGUAACACCGGCAGCCCGAGUGAUGGCCGAUUUUAUUGGGCCUAAAGCGUCCGUAGCUGGCCGCGUAGGUCCGUCGGGAAAUCUACUGGCUUAACCAGUAGGCGUCCGGCGGAAACCUCGUGGCUUGGGACCGGGAGACCUGAGGGGUACGUCCGGGGUAGGAGUGAAAUCCCGUAAUCCUGGACGGACCACCGGUGGCGAAAGCGCCUCAGGAGAACGGAUCCGACAGUGAGGGACGAAAGCUAGGGUCUCGAACCGGAUUAGAUACCCGGGUAGUCCUAGCUGUAAACGAUGCUCG